rnacentral:rRNA from 1 species
UCUGCCUAGUAGUGGGGGAUAACUUGCCGAAAGGUAAGCUAAUACCGCAUACGUCCUACGGGAGAAAGCAGGGGACUCUUCGGAGCCUUGCGCUAUUAGAUGAGCCUAGGUCGGAUUAGUUAGUUGGUGAGGUAAUGGCUCACCAAGACAGCGAUCCGUAACUGGUCUGAGAGGAUGAUCAGUCACACUGGAACUGAGACACGGUCCAGACUCCUACGGGAGGCAGCAGUGGGGAAUAUUGGACAAUGGGGGAAACCCUGAUCCAGCCAUGCCGCGUGUGUGAAGAAGGUCUUCGGAUUGUAAAGCACUUUAAGUUGGGAGGAAGGGCAGUUAACUAAUAUUUGACUGUUUUGACGUUACCGACAGAAUAAGCACCGGCUAACUUCGUGCCAGCAGCCGCGGUAAUACGAAGGGUGCAAGCGUUAAUCGGAAUUACUGGGCGUAAAGCGCGCGUAAGUGGUUCGUUAAGUUAGGAGUGAAAGCCCCGGGCUCAACCUGGGAAUUGCUUCUAAAACUGGCGGGCUAAAGUACAGUAAAGGAUGGUGGAAUUUCCUGUGUAGCGGUGAAAUGCGUAGAUAUAGGAAGGAACAUCAGUGGCGAAGGCGACCAUCUGGACUGAUACUGACACUGAGGUGCGAAAGCGUGGGGAGCAAACAGGAUUAAAUACCCUGGUAGUCCACGCCGUAAACGAUGUCAACUA